UGAAUGCUAAGUGUUGGAGGGUUUCCGCCCUUCAGUGCUGCAGCUAACGCAUUAAGCAUUCCGCCUGGGGAGUACGGCCGCAAGGCUGAAACUCAAAGGAAUUGACGGGGGCCCGCACAAGCGGUGGAGCAUGUGGUUUAAUUCGAAGCUACGCGAAGAACCUUACCAGGUCUUGACAUACUAUGCAAAUCUAAGAGAUUAGACGUUCCCUUCGGGGACAUGGAUACAGGUGGUGCAUGGCUGUCGUCAG
rnacentral:rRNA from 1 species